rnacentral:rRNA from 1 species
AACGAACGCUGGCGGCAGGCUUAACACAUGCAAGUCGAGCGCCCCGCAAGGGGAGCGGCAGACGGGUGAGUAACGCGUGGGAACAUACCCCUUACUACGGAACAACUCCGGGAAACUGGAGCUAAUACCGUAUGUGCCCUUCGGGGGGAAAGAUUUAUCGGUAAAGGAUUGGCCCGCGUUGGAUUAGCUAGUUGGUGGGG